rnacentral:rRNA from 1 species
GAUGAACGCUAGCUACAGGCUUAACACAUGCAAGUCGAGGGGAAACGAUAGAGAAAGCUUGCUUUUUCUAGGCGUCGACCGGCGCACGGGUGAGUAACGCGUAUCCAACCUGCCCAUCACUUGGGGAUAACCUUGCGAAAGUAAGACUAAUACCCAAUGAUAUCUCUAGAAGACAUCUGAAGGAGAUUAAAGAAUUAUCGGUGAUGGAUGGGGAUGCGUCUGAUUAGCUUGUUGGCGGGGUAACGGCCCACCAAGGCGACGAUCAGUAGGGGUUGUGCGAGGAAGGUCCCCCACAUUGGACCUGAGACACGGUCCAAACUCCUACGGGAGGCAGCAGUGAGUAAUAUUGGUCAAUGGACGAGAGUCUGAACCAGCCAAGUAGCGUGCAGGAUGACGGCCCUAUGGGUUGUAAACUGCUUUUAUAAGGGAAUAAAGUGAGUCUCGUGAGACUUUUUGCAUGUACCUUAUGAAUAAGGACCGGCUAAUUCCGUGCCAGCAGCCGCAGUAA